rnacentral:rRNA from 1 species
UCCUACGGGAGGCAGCAGUAGGGAAUCUUCCGCAAUGGACGAAAGUCUGACGGAGCAACGCCGCGUGAGUGAUGAAGGUUUUCGGAUCGUAAAACUCUGUUGUUAGGGAAGAACAAGUACCGUUCGAAUAGGGCGGUACCUUGACGGUACCUAACCAGAAAGCCACGGCUAACUACGUGCCAGCAGCCGCGGUAAU